ensembl:lncRNA
UAAAUGUUUGAAUGGUAGUAUGUAUUUUUUUAUUUUAUUUCAUUUUUAAAAAAUCCCAGGAGUUAAAUUUUUUUGGUCUGAUUUGUUUUCAAUGAAAAUGCCUAUUAUAUGUAAGAAAGAGCUUGCUAUUACUUGUUCUGAUCUCAGCUUCAUUUGUCCCAAAUUGGAGGGAAAGUAUUUGCUUGCUUAACUAAGUGCUCUGAGAGCAAUUGUGCUCCUAAGGUAAAGGUUAAAAGAACUGAACUAGUGCCAGGGCUGCUAACAUGCUGGCAAUCUGAGCCCUGCUCUGUUAGAGUGACAUUCUGAACCAGGUUAGAUUCAAGCAAGCAUUAAAUGGAAUGAACUUGGCUGGCAUUAACAUGCCAAUAUAAGUUUAAUUUCUAUUUGAGCCUAUAAAGUUCGACAUGAUGCCUAAUAAUUAUAAUGUCUUUAUUAAUAUAUAAACUUCUUGAGCACUACACGUGCCUGCAGAUCAGUCUAGUGUUUCUGCUAAAGAACUGCAGAAGUCUGGAAACCAUUUCUGGCCUCUAUCUUCAGAUAACAAUGUAAGUACUACCCUUCUGACACUUCCCAGGGAGCAGGUUUCCCCCAAACCACACAAAGCCUCCAUUCAUCACUGGAAUGAAAAUACAGAUUCUGAGCAGAUGCCAUCACCGCUGGUUAGAGGACGAAAGAACGCUCACUGUCGUCUGGUUGGGCAAGGAACGUCCCUGAAGAUGGUCUCAAUAUUGAUUGGCAUAUUUGUAAGACCAGUUAUAUGAUAAUUGCUCAAGUUUGAUUGUGUUUUAACAGAUUAUUUCGGAUACGGCAUGCAUCCCCUUCAUCCUGCUGAUGUUGAAAUGAUCGCCAUCAUAUUCCGAGGAACUGCCCCACGACUUGAUUCGUGCUCAGAAUUCACUUGGGCUCAAUUUCCUAAUCAUUCGUUUCCAUCAAGUUUGCAAGGGUCCAUAACUGUCUAUAGUAAUAAGAAAGAUGGCUCAAGGGAUGAACCAGCUCUCAACGCAGCGUUCACUGAAAAAUGUUUUUAUUUUCCUAUGUUAGUCAUAGCAUUUGUUACGGGGAUUUCACCUUUUGACCAGAAACAAAGCGUGUUUUCUUGGCUUUGA